UACGUAGGGGGCAAGCGUUGUCCGGAAUCCUUGGGCGUAAAGAGCGUGUAGGCGGCUCGGUAAGUCCGCUGUGAAAGUCCAGGGCUCAACCCUGGAAUGCCGGUGGAAACUGUCGAGCUAGAGUCCGGAAGAGGCGAGUGGAAUUCCUGGUGUAGCGGUGAAAUGCGCAGAUAUCAGGAGGAACACCGAUGGCGAAGGCAGCCCCCUGGGCUGACACUGACGCUCAGGCACGAAAGCGUGGGGAGCAAACAGG
rnacentral:rRNA from 1 species